rnacentral:rRNA from 1 species
GAGUUUGAUCCUGGCUCAGAACGAACGCUGGCGGCAGGCCUAACACAUGCAAGUCGAGCGCACCCUUCGGGGCGAGCGGCGGACGGGUUAGUAACGCGUGGGAACAUACCCUUUACUACGGAAUAGCCUCGGGAGACUGAGAGUAAUACCGUAUGUGCCCUUCGGGGGAAAGAUUUAUCGGUAAAGGAUUGGCCCGCGUAAGAUUAGAUAGUUGGUGGGGUAAUGGCCUACCAAGCCUACGAUCUAUAGCUGGUUUGAGAGGAUGAUCAGCCACACUGGAACUGAGACACGGUCCAGACUCCUACGGGAGACAGCAGUGGGGAAUAUUGGACAAUGGGCGCAAGCCUGAUCCAGCCAUGCCGCGUGUGUGAAGAAGGCUCUAGGGUUGUAAAGCACUUUCAGUAGGGAGGAAGGCCAGAGUGUUAAUAGCGCUUUGGAUUGACGUUACCUACAGAAGCAGCACCGGCUAACUCCGUGCCAGCAGCCGCGGUAAUACGGAGGGUGCAAGCGUUAAUCGGAAUUACUGGGCGUAAAGCGCGCGUAGGCGGUUUGUUAAGUGUGAUGUGAAAGCCCAGGGCUCAACCUUGGAACUGCAUCACAUACUGGCAAGCUAGAGUACGGUAGAGGGAGGUAGAAUUCACAGUGUAGCGGUGGAAUGCGUAGAUAUUGUGAAGAAUACCAAUGGCGAAGGCAGCCUCCUGGAUCUGUACUGACACUGAGGUGCGAAAGCGUGGGUAGCGAACAGGAUUAGAUACCCUGGUAGUCCACGCCGUAAACGAUGUCAACUAUCUGUUGGAAAGCAUUGCUUUUCAGUGGAGCAGCUAACGUAAUAAGUUGACCGCCUGGGGAGUACGGCCGCAAGGCUAAAACUCAAAUGAAUUGACGGGGACCCGCACAAGCGGUGGAGCAUGUGGUUUAAUUCGAUGCAACGCGAAAAACCUUACCUAUGCUUGACAUACUUGGAAUACUUUGUAAUGAAGUAGUGCCUUCGGGAGCCAAGAUACAGGUGCUGCAUGGCUGUCGUCAGCUCGUGUCGUGAGAUGUUCGGUUAAGUCCGGCAACGAGCGCAACCCACAUCUUUAGUUGCCAGCAGUUCGGCUGGGCACUCUAGAGAAACUGCCCGUGAUAAGCGGGAGGAAGGUGAGGACGACGUCAAGUCAUCAUGGCCCUUACGUGUUGGGCUACACACGUGCUACAAUGGCAUCUACAACAGGAAGCAAAACGGCAACGUUAAGCAAAUCCCGAAAAGAUGCCUCAGUUCGGAUUGCACUCUGCAACUCGAGUGCAUGAAGCUGGAAUUACUAGUAAUCGUGGAUCAGCGUGCCACGGUGAAUGCGUUCCCGGGUCUUGUACACACCGCCCGUCACACGAUGGGAGUUGGUUCUACCUUAAGGCAAGGUUUCAAACCCUUGACCACGGUAUAGUCAGCGACUGGGGUGAAGUCGUAACAAGGUAACC